CACCGACCGAGCGUCUGCGGGUUCCUGUUUGGAGGAAGCACCGGAACCGCGGCGCACAGGUGGAGCAGGAGGGUGAACACACAGUAACAAUUGUUUGACCUUCAUAAAAACUAUACAUACAGAUCAGUUCAGAAUAUGAUUUGACCAUUUUAAUGAGAUUACACUCUUCAGUGGCGGAGAAAAAUACCAUUUUAUAUUCAAAGCUUUUCAGUCGUUCAAAAAUAUUGUUGUAAAUUGAAUCUUGAUUAAUUUGAUGUGAUGGAAUUUGACUGCAGAUUCCAUCAGUAUCCUCUGAAUUGCAUUGUAUAAACUGCAGAUGCCUGUUUA